UCCUCCUUCUCCUCUCCGUCUCUCGAUCCAACCCAAGCACCACCGCCGACCCUUCCCAACCCCGGCCUCGUCCACCGCCGGCGACCCCUUCUCUCCCUCCCUCCCUCCACCUCCAUCAGCGGAUCCACUCGAGCAGCAUCUCAGGCCGCCAUCAGAUCCACCCUCCUUGCGCUGGACGGAAACCCUAGCCGCCCGUCCAUGGCGACCCACCGCAGCACCCAAAGGCCUCGACGACGGCGGUAUGGUAGGAGCAACGGCGACCAGCGACGGCCAUGGCGACCCACCGCAGCCUCCAAGACCUCGACAACGGUCGGUGCUAUGGUGAGGUACAGCAACCAGUGAUGGGACAACGCCUAAAUCC